rnacentral:rRNA from 1 species
UGAAACCGUUUAGGGGUAAACCUGAGAAACCCGAAAGGUCGAAGGGAGAAAUUCAUUCGCGUUUCAUCCGUUCAACGGCAGAUGGAUUUUAGUGUGUGUUUAAUGUGUGUGACAAUUUUUUUUGUUGCAUACAUUUACGCGCUCGUUCGUUUGUCGCCCAUUAUAUUGUGAAUGAUGAACGUGUGCACUUUUCUCCUGGUAGGACGUCGCGAUCCGUUGAGUAUCGGUCUACGGCUUGCAGUUGGAGACCAUUUAUUGUAAAUUUUAUCAUUUACCUUAAAUGGACACUUGCAUGUUUCCCGGCCGAUUCGCUUUCGACGGUAUGCUAUAUGGUUGGGGGCCGCUUUUUUCGAAGCGUUCGCCUCAUUGCAAGCGCGCUAGAUGUUUUGUCGACAAUCGGACCUAGUGCCGGUUUUGGCCUCUAGCGACUGUUAGCGAUGAUGUGCUCGAACAGACCUCGCAAAUACACAUAAACACAACCAAUCAGCGACGCUAUAGCUUUGGGUACUUUCAGGACCCGUCUUGAAACACGGACCAAGGAGUCUAGCAUGUACGCAAGUCAUUGGGACUAUCAAUAAACCUAAAGGCGUAAUGAAAGUGAAUAUCUUUCUUGUAAAGAUUUAGGGAAGACGAGUGUUGAUUUUUAUCUGUGUGUGGUGUGUGUCUUUAUUAUUCAUACACGCUCUCACCGACAUUCUGCAUUCCCGGGGCGUCUCAUUCUCAUUACGAGAAGAGGCGCACCAAGAGCGUACACGCUGGGACCCGAAAGAUGGUGAACUAUGCCUGGUCAGGACGAA